GUCCUUUUGGAUCGCUAGAGGAUGGUCUUGCGGCGUAUUAGCUUGUUGGUAGGGUAGAAGCCUACCAAGGCAAUGAUGCGUAGCCGAGUUGAGAGACUGGCCGGCCACAUUGGGACUGAGACACUGCCCAAACUCCUACGGGAGGCUGCAGUAGGGAAUUUUCCGCAAUGCACGAAAGUGUGACGGAGCGACGCCGCGUGUGUGAUGAAGGCUUUCGGGUCGUAAAGCACUGUUGUAAGGGAAGAAUAACUGAAUUCAGAGAAAGUUUUCAGCUUGACGGUACCUUACCAGAAAGGGAUGGCUAAAUACGUGCCAGCAGCCGCGGUAAUACGUAUGU
rnacentral:rRNA from 1 species